rnacentral:rRNA from 1 species
GGGCCCGCACAAGCGGUGGAGCAUGUGGUUUAAUUCGAUGAUACGCGAGGAACCUUACCAGGGCUUAAAUGUAGUCUGACAGCUUUAGAGAUAGAGUUUUCUUCGGACAGAUUACAAGGUGCUGCAUGGUUGUCGUCAGCUCGUGCCGUGAGGUGUCAGGUUAAGUCCUAUAACGAGCGCAACCCCUGUCGUUAGUUGCCAGCAUGUAAAGAUGGGGACUCUAACGAGACUGCCGGUGCAAACCGCGAGGAAGGUGGGGAUGACGUCAAAUCAUCACGGCCCUUACGUCCUGGCCACACACGUGCUACAAUGGCCGGUACAGAGAGCAGCCACGUCGCAAGGCUAAGAAAUC